rnacentral:ncRNA from 2 species
UCCAAUGGAUGCUGUCGAGGUUCCCUGCUCGCGAUCCGGCAACGGGUCGCGCGGCAGGGCUAAGACGGGAAGCCGGUGACGUCCGCGAGGACGGAGUCCGGCGCUGCCCCCGCAACUGUAAGCGGCGAGCGGCGGUUUCAACCAUGCCACUGGCGCCCCGCGAGGAGCGCCGGGAAGGCCGGAGCCGCCGUGACGACCCGUGAGCCAGGAGACCUGCCUCCGACGCGAUAACGUU